rnacentral:rRNA from 1 species
ACCCUCGGGAAACUGAGGCCAAUAGUGUAUACCGUACCACCACUGGAAUGAGUGGUACGCCAAACGCUCCGGCNCCCUUCGGAACACAAUACCCUCGGGAAACUGAGGCCAAUAGUGUAUACCGUACCACCACUGGAAUGAGUGGUACGCCAAACGCUCCGGCGCCGAAGGAUGUGGCUGCGGCCGAUUAGGUAGACGGUGGGGUAACGGCCCACCGUGCCAAUAAUCGGUAUGGGUCAUGAGAGUGAGAACCCAGAGACGGAAUCUGAGACAAGAUUCCGGGCCCUACGGGGCGCAGCAGGCGCGAAACCUUUACACUGCACGACAGUGCGAUAGGGGGAUCCCAAGUGCACAGGCAUAGCGCCUGUGCUUUUCGGUACCCUAAGGCGGUACCAGAAUAAGGGCUGGGCAAGACCGGUGCCAGCCGCCGCGGUAAUACCGGCAGCCCAAGUGAUGGCCGAUCUUAUUGGGCCUAAAGCGUCCGUAGCUGGCCGCGCAAGUCCAUCGGGAAAUCCACCUGCUCAACAGGUGGGCGCCCGGUAGAAACUGCGUGGCUUGGGACCGGAAGGCGCGACGGGUACGUCCGGGGUAGGAGUGAAAUCCCGUAAUCCUGGACGGACCGCCGAUGGCGAAAGCACGUCGCGAGAACGGAUCCGACAGUGAGGGACGAAAGCCAGGGUCUCGAACCGGAUUAGAUACCCGGGUAGUCCUGGCCGUAAACAAUGUCUGCUAGGUGUGGCUCCCACUACGAGUGGGUGCUGUGCCGUAGGGAAGCCGCUAAGCAGACCGCCUGGGAAGUACGUCCGCAAGGAUGAAACUUAAAGGAAUUGGCGGGGGAGCACUACAACCGGAGGAGCCUGCGGUUUAAUUGGACUCAACGCCGGACAUCUCACCAGCAUCGACUGUGGUAAUGACGAUCAGGUUGAUGACCUUAUCCGAGCCUCAGAGAGGAGGUGCAUGGCCGCCGUCAGCUCGUACCGUGAGGCGUCCUGUUAAGUCAGGCAACGAGCGAGACCCGCACCCUUACUUGCCAGCAGUACCGCGAGGUAGCUGGGGACAGUAGGGGGACCGCCGUGGCUAACACGGAGGAAGGAACGGGCAACGGUAGGUCAGUAUGCCCCGAAUGUGCUGGGCAACACGCGGGCUACAAUGGUCGAGACAAAGGGUUCCUACUCCGAAAGGAGACGGUAAUCUCAGAAACUCGAUCGUAGUUCGGAUUGUGGGCUGCAACUCGCCCACAUGAAGCUGGAUUCGGUAGUAAUCGCGUGUCACAAGCGCGCGGUGAAUACGUCCCUGCUCCUUGCACACACCGCCCGUCAAAGCACCCGAGUGAGGUCCGGAUGAGGCGUACCUCGUACGUCGAAUCUGGGCUUCGCAAGGGGGCUUAAGUCGUAACAAGGUAGCCGUAGGGGAAUCUGCGGCUG